AGUGGGCUCAAAUUUAAUCAAACUGGCAUCUACAACAGCAAGAGCCCUGAAGGAAAAAGAUGACCAAGUCUACUGCCAGCCACUGUUGCUUUAUGAAGGCUUAGAGCUGCCUCGGAUUAAUUACGCUCACAACGGAAAGCCAUACCGCUAUGUCUUUGCUGCUGAAGUUCAGUGGAGUCCCAUCCCAACCAAGAUACUGAAAUAGGAUGUUCUCACAAAGUCAUCCUUAAAAUGGGGACAGGAGCACUGCUGGCCAGCAGAACCCGUUUGUACCCACACCGGGUGCCAAGGACGAGGAUGACGGUAAGACUCCAGGGAUUAUCCUAUCAGCCAUCGUCUCUACCGAUCCCCAAAGGCAGCCUUUUCUGCUUAUUCUGGAUGCCAAAAGUUUUACAGAAUUGGCUCGUACAUCCAUUGAUGUAGAGAUGCACCUGGAUCUCCAUGGGUUAUUCAUCCCGGACACAGACUGGGACAAGAGGAAGCAGGCCCCUUCCCGGGAAGAGCGGGACGGGGCACCAGAUUGCCCCCUGGCCCCUCAGAGCUGACUGGGUUGGGGCCUGGGCCCUGGGCCCUGGGCAGAACCGCUCCACUGGCAGGCUCCCACAGGACUCCAGGCUUGCUCCCUCUCUGAGUGAAGGGGAGGUCCUUCAUUUCGCUUUGCACUUAUUCUUUGUGUGACUGCUUUGAGACAAAGGUAUGGAAAUAGUGCUUGUCAGUAUCUUUUCUUUCAACUUAUUUUGGCUAUAAAAACCUUAUUUGAAAGUGGAUCAAAUGUUUAUUGAUUAGCUCAAGCACUUCUAAGAAAGCCCUUUUCCUUUAUUAUAAUGAUGGUGACCAGAAAUUGUAUUAAGUCACAUAAUCAUCCUUCUUAGAAUGGGCAACCACUGGCAUCUCAGAGACGAGUAAAUAUUUAUCACUGCUCCUUCCUGCCGCCCCUUCUCUCCCUCUUUCCAGUAGACUAGCUUGUGCGUCUAGGAGUUCUAACUUUCUCCACCAUGCCCUGUUAGUAAAUUGUGUGGCCAGGAAGGCAUAUUGCUUUGUGGUCAUUCCAUGCAAAGCAUGGCAUAAUUUAAAAUAAUAAAAACUUCAAAGUCUGUUCCAACCUUAUUUAAUUUUUGCAUGGCUUCUUUCCUCUCAAGUUCUUCUAUGGCAAUAAAAUAGAAGAGCUGGCCAGUUUGUAGCCUGUUAGAUGCCCCAUUGUACACCCAGUGGGACAGCAGAUUGGUGUGGGCAUCCCCCUUUGCAGGAGGGGGUGGCGGGCUGGCCGCUGACCCAACUAACCAUGGUCAGGGGGCUAGAAUCCAGGAUUGAGGCCCAGGCCUGGGCUGGUAUGAGGAGUUCUUGCUGAGAACUGGGGCAGUGAGCCAUGCCAGUGUCUGUGGUUCCCCAAGUAGGUUCCCCAAGCUGAAUGUGCUGCCAGGAUGGGCCAGGUGUUUGCACAGGGAUGAAAGGAGGUUGGUGGUGGCGAUGGUGGAAGCUGGGAACAAGCCAAGAAGGGUCCCACGUGAGCACCGGGAACCCCCAUAGAUAGUUGAGUCUCACCUUUGUAGUCUAGUGGGUGCCUGGUUUAGGACCCAAAGGCAGGCUGAAUAAUUCCAAUGUACCCAUGUCAUAGGGUCAGGGGAGCUGGGAGUCCACCCUUAUUCUGCACCUGCCUCCUGCCCUAAGUCUGGAUUUCAUUUGGUUACUGGUAGGGAUUCAAUGGCAUGUCUCAAAGACAGGAAGGAAUCUCCGGUGACACUGCAUGGAGUACCCCAGAGGGCAGACCUCUCAAGGAUGGUCUUGGCUUUUGCCCUCUGCCCACCAUGAAGCCAUACUUAGCUCCCACUCAAAUGGAGGCUCCAUCAGGUCUGGGGGUUGGGUUUUGUUUGGGGGGUGUUUUUUUGGACAUUUUUAUUGGAAUAAUUGUAGAUUCAUGUAUAAUUCUAAGAAAUAAUACAAAAGAGAUCCUGCAUGGACUUUACCUGGUUUUCCCAAUAGUAGCAUUAUAGUACAGUAUUGCAACCAGGAGGCUCCUGACAUUGAUUCAAUCCACAGAUCUUUUUCAGAUCUCCCAGUUUUACUUGUACACAUUACUAUGUGUGUUUAGCUCUAUGCAAUUUUAUCAUAUGUGUAAAUUCCUAUAUCCACCACCACAGUCAAGAUAUUGAAUGGCAUUCGUGUGUGGUGAUUUUUUUUACCACUAUACCAACUUUCUCCCACCAUGACCCUCCCACCCCAUCCCUAGCCCCUGGCAAGCACCAUUUCUAAAAUUCUGUCAUUUCAAAACUGUUAUAUAAAUGGAAUCACCAGUAUUAACUUUUGAGGAUUGACGUUUCCUAGCAGAAUUGCUUGAAGAUUCAUCCAUGUUGUUCUGUGUUGGGUGCGUUUUUGUUCACUACUGUAUCCUCAGCACCUAGAACACUGC